AGAUCUAGCUUGCUAGAUGCUGACGAGCGGCGGACGGGUGAGUAAUGCAUAGGAAUCUGCCCGGUAGUGGGGGAUAACCUGGGGAAACCCAGGCUAAUACCGCUACGUCCUACGGGAGAAAGGGGGCUUCGGCUCCCGCUAUUGGAUGAGCCUAUGUCGGAUUAGCUAGUUGGUGAGGUAAUGGCUCACCAAGGCAACGAUCCGUAGCUGGUCUGAGAGGAUGAUCAGCCACAUCGGGACUGAGACACGGCCCGAACUCCUACGGGAGGCAGCAGUGGGGAAUAUUGGACAAUGGGGGCAACCCUGAUCCAGCCAUGCCGCGUGUGUGAAGAAGGCCCUCGGGUUGUAAAGCACUUUCAGCGAGGAAGAACGCCUGUCGGUUAAUACCCGGUAGGAAAGACAUCACUCGCAGAAGAAGCACCGGCUAACUCCGUGCCAGCAGCCGCGGUAAUACGGAGGGUGCAAGCGUUAAUCGGAAUUACUGGGCGUAAAGCGCGCGUAGGUGGCUUGAUAAGCCGGUUGUGAAAGCCCCGGGCUCAACCUGGGAACGGCAUCCGGAACUGUCAGGCUA
rnacentral:rRNA from 1 species